UACGUAGGGCGCAAGCGUUGUCCGGAAUUAUUGGGCGUAAAGAGCUCGUAGGUGGUUUGUCGCGUCUGUUGUGAAAGCCCGGGGCUUAACUCCGGGUUUGCAGUGGAUACGGGCAGGCUAGAGGCAGGUAGGGGAGAACGGAAUUCCCGGUGUAGCGGUGAAAUGCGCAGAUAUCGGGAGGAACACCGGUGGCGAAGGCGGUUCUCUGGGCCUGUACUGACGCUGAGGGGCGAAAGCGUGGGGAGCGAACAGG
rnacentral:rRNA from 1 species